rnacentral:rRNA from 1 species
UACGUAGGGACCAAGCGUUGUCCGGAAUCAUUGGGCGUAAAGAGCGUGUAGGCGGCUUGUUAAGUCUUGCGUGAAAUCUCGGGACUCAACCCCGAGCGGUCGUGAGAAACUGGCAGGCUAGGGUGCGGGAGAGGAGAGUGGAAUUCCUGGUGUAGCGGUGAAAUGCGCAGAUAUCAGGAAGAACACCCGUGGCGAAGGCGGCUCUCUGGAACGCAACUGACGCUGAGACGCGAAAGCGUGGGGAGCAAACAGG